AAUUUCAUACCCCCGACUCGAUUUUCCACGCUGAUUCCUCUUGUGGCCAAAUCGGAGCCAAAAUCCCGGCUAAACGGCCGGAAUACGCGGCCGAAGGCCAGCGGCGCCGCCGCGCCCCCUCUCGGUUUUUGCCUCCGAUGAGGCCUUUCCCGGCCUCCGUUUGAUGCAAUUUUUAUAUCACCGUGAUCACCAUUCUUUUCUCUACAGGUUGACCGGAGCCGAAUCACCAAAACACGAACCUCGCCGGAGAGCCGCCGCACCCGAGAGCGCCGCCGCC
rnacentral:lncRNA from 1 species